CGCUCCCUGAUCAUUUAUUUAAUAAUAAUUAAAUUAUAGAUAUUUAUAGGGAGUCGGACCUGCCCGGUGACAUAUGUUAAACGGCCGCGGUACUCUGACCGUGCAAAGGUAGCAUAAUCAUUUGCCUUUUAAUUAAAGGCUAGUAUGAAUGGUUUGACGAGGGCUAAGCUGUCUCUUUUAAAAUAUAAAAAAACUAAUUUUUAGGUGAAGAAGCCUAAAUUUAAUUGAGGGACAAGAAGACCCCUUUGAGCUUUAGUGAUUUAAUAAAAACUAUUUUAAUGUAUUACUACAAUACAUUAAUAUUGUAUUAAUAUAAAUAUCAUUUAUUAAAAAUCUUUAGUUGGGGCGACUAAGGAACAAAUAAAGCUUCCUCUUAAUUUAUCGACAGAAAAUCAAUUUAUACAAUGAUCCAGCACUUUGCUGAUCAAAGAAAAAAGUUACCACGGGGAUAACAGCGUAAUCCUCCUAAAGAGCUCGAAUCGAAGGGAGGGUUUGCGACCUCGAUGUUGGACUAAGAUAUCCCAGGGGUGCAGAAGCUUCUGACGGUUAGUCUGUUCGACUAUUAAAAUCUU
rnacentral:rRNA from 1 species